UCACCGGUCCCUCUUGGUAGUCGCCCCGGCUCCCUUUCCUUCCUCUUUUCCUUCCUUCCUCCCUCCCAAUUUGUUGCUGGCGGCGGCGGCAGCUGCUCCUCUGGCGGCGGGGGAGGGACCCCGGGGGUAGCUCAGAGCGCGGCUGGUGCUCGGGUGGCGGAGGGAGAAAGAAGGAAGGGAGGCGGUAAGUGAACGGCGGCUCGCAGGGAGGGAGAGAGAGGGAGGGAGGAAGGCGGAGGGAUAUUCGGGCCGGACCUCUCCGCGGCGGCACCGCGCUCCAUGUCGAUUGGCUGCCGCCGUGGCCACGCGGAAUCCCCAAUUGGCCCGGCGGUCAGCGUUGAAGGGCCGCCCUGCGCCCAUUCGCCCGCUGGUUUCAAGGCCCGGGUUGGCUGGGCGGGCAGCGAAAUGAGGCGCGCGGAUUGGUCGGAGGGAGGGAGGUUGGGGUGGGGCAGGCGAGAGCCGGCCGCUGAUUGGAUUGGCCUGGUAAAGGCCUAGAGCGCAGACCGGCUGAGCGCUGGGAGGAGGGUGGACCAAAGACGAGACUCCGGGUCCGCGUGAUUGGCUGGGACACUAGACGUUGAUAGGAUAGGGCGCCCGGGAGAACUGGGGAGAGGAGUUCGGGGUCGGGACCGCGGAAAGGCGGGAGGCGCCCCGCCGCUUCAGGAGCCUGGCGCGGGGCACGAUGGGACGCCCCCGAGAAGGGGCGGAGCCGUGUUCGGGCUGCGGUUGGGAAAGUGCCGUCACUCCAAGGGGCGUGUUGAGGAGGGUUUCGCGGGCCCUAGCGGGGGAGGGGGGACUGUUAAAGCCUCGCACCGCGCCCACAGGAAGCUGCUUUCUUGGCCGGGCCUACUUGGUACCAGGCUCUCAGCUGGGAAGGACCUUGAAGACCAUGCGGUUCAACUUCGAAUUCGCAGGUGUGGAAACUGAAGCCCAAAGAGGGGAGAACUGUCCUGUGUGUGUAAAUGAUCUGGAAUCAGUGAAGAUGAAGUAAGAGGAAUCUUUGGAAUUGACCUUUUGUGGACUCCCCGUACUACAAAUGAUCCACAAUUCUGCCUCACUCCAGCCCAGCUUCCUCCUGCCCCCCAGCAGCUUGCUCCACGUGAUAGUACCAGUGAGGGCAAAUGGAUUUUUAAAGUACCUGGAAUAAAAUGCUGGGAAGAGAAUAUGUUUUGCAGCAAAGUUCUAGUCAAACAUAAGAUCCUUGCCAAAACCCAAGUGAAAUGAUUUUUUUUUUUUAGUUGAACUAAGGUUACUGAUGGUGCCGUCUAGUCCCUUUCAAAAGCACUCAACACUAGCCCGCAUUCAGCAAAGGCCAGUGAGGCACCAUGACACAAGUGUUCAGCACACAGACUCCAGAAACUGCCUCUGUUCAUAUCCAGCAGUGCCACUUCUUAGCUUGUGUGACUUACUUUGCUUACAUGUAAAAUGGGGCUAGUAGUUGUACCUACUUCAUACAGGGCUUUUGGGAGAUCUUAAAGUGAGUUAAUACGUGUGAAGUGAUGGGAACACUCCCUGGCAUGUUAUAUAUGCCAUAUAUACAUUGGCUAUUUAUUAAGCAUGCAUUUUGUACUAAGUGAGUGGUUUCUUAGCCUUUGGCCUAGUAGGAAAGAAAGAUUUUAAUUAAUCUCACAAGCAAAUGUAAAGUUGUAAAAGUGACAUGCCAAAGAGUUACCCAGUCAGGGGGCUCAGGGAAAGUUUACCUGAGAAAGGGAAGAGUUACUCAGGUGGAAAAGGGAGGAACGGCAUGUGCAAAGGCCUUGUGAUGGGUGAUGGGAGGGAGCACAGGGAUUAUAAGGAACUGCAAGAGGGCCAAUAGCCCCAAAGCACAGAGAUCAAGGGAUUGAGAUAAGAUUGGAAUGUUGAGUAGCGGAAAGAGCAUAUGAGACUUUGCAUGCCAUGCAUAUGAUUUUGUCUGUGUUCCAAGAGCAGAGGCCGCUACUCAAAGGUCUUAAGAAGAUUGGUGAUUAUAAUGUGGAGAGGGUUGUAAUGUGGAAAGAGGGAAGAGGAGACGCAGGGAGAUCAGUGAGCAGACCAUUGCAGCAUUCUAGGGCACAUGAGUGAGAAGACCCGCUGCCAAGGGAGAAGCAGGCAGGCUGUGACCCGAUGCCCUUUCUUCCUGAGCAAAGCUGAUGGACCCAAGAGGGGUCAAACCUUGGCCUCCUCAGUGCUGAGGAAGAAUGGAGGUGAAUACCACAUCUGGAGAGCUGAGUGCCCCCCCCCCGAUUAGUAAUGGGGCAAACUUGAUUGCCGUUUUCCUGACUUGCCACACCACACUCCUUCCAAGUAAUAAAGAGAUCAUUUGAGGGGCUCCUGAACGGCUUAGUUAAGCGUCCAACUUGAUUUCAGCUGAGGUCGUGAUCUCAGGGUGCUGAGAUCAGGCCCCGUGUUGGGCUCUGUGCCCAGCUGGGAAUCUGCUUGAGGAUUCUCCCUCUCCCUCUGCACCGCUCCCCCCCCAGCUUGUGCACGUACACACACUCUCACUCUGUCUAAAAUAAGUAACAAAAUCUUGAAAAAGAAGAAGAAAAGAGAUCACUUGCAGAAAAGCAGCUGAGACUUACUGCUCUUUCCUCUGCAGUCCUCAGGGCAGAAAUGCUGUCAUCAUAAAACAAUCCUCUUAACCUCCCCACAGCCCUUCCCCUUUGCUCGCUAGGCUCUAGCCUUCUUGUUCCUUGAACACACCUUGAUUUGUGAGUCUCAGGACCUUGGUAUUUGCUGCCGCUUCCAUCCGGGCCACUCUACCCCCAACUGUUCCUUCCCCUUCCUCUCAUAGUUCAGAUGUCACUUCCUCGGAGAGGCGUUCCCGGAUGACCCCGUCUACGGUAGUUUGCACAGAUGCUCGUUGUGAUGGGACCCUAUUUGAUGAUCUUCAGAGCUCCUCGACACCUGAAAUGACCUGUUGACGCUGUCUGUCCCCACCCCCACUAGAAUGAUGGUCCACAAGAGCGAGGUCUUGUCCGUCUUGUUUGUUGCUUAAAUUGUGCCUCACGCCUUAGUAGGUGCUCAAGUAUUUGUAAAGUGGAUGAAUUAGUAACGAAGCACGUAACACGUCCUUACGGCCUCUAGGAAGUGGCUGUCUGUGUUCAAGGUGCUUUAUAAUUUCCUCACCCGCUCUUCCAGUGUUAGCCAUACUGGCCCCCACGUGUACCUUUGGUCCAAUCAAACCAGCCAUGUCAUGGUAUCCUGCAGAAUCAUUGUCGUAGGCCUGUCCCCCACCUGGAAUUCCCUCUUUGUCCUUCUCUGUCUUCAAGGUGGUACUCUUGUUAAUUUGUUCAUCCAACUACAUUACUUUUGGGGCUCCCUUCUCCCCGGGCAUUUCAAGUACAACGUGGGUCUAUGAUAAUGGCCGUAAGAAAGGUAUGAGCCAAAUGCUGUCAUGGAGCUGAAAUCUCAGGAGAAAGAGACAUGGUUCCUGGCUUAGUUAUGACACUUGGUAGGCACGGGAGGAUUCGAGCUGAACCGUGGAGGAUUGGAGAGGAUUAACGAUUGCAAGGAAGCCUUCUCCAACCAAGGUUGAUCUCUCUGCUUACUAAUAAUGUUAUCUUGGGAAGGUUUAUUUGAGGCUUCUAUGUCUCGGUCUCCUCAUCUUCGAGAUGAGGAUAAGAGUC